rnacentral:tRNA from 2 species
UCGGGGAGGGGAGGUUUCGGGUAUGAGGCGUGAUAUGACCGCACCACCACGUUCGGGAUGUGGGGGUCGCAAGUCCGAAUCUUGCCACUCCGAA